rnacentral:rRNA from 1 species
UACGAAGGGGGCUAGCGUUGCUCGGAAUCACUGGGCGUAAAGCGCACGUAGGCGGAUUGCUAAGUCAGGGGUGAAAUCCUGGAGCUCAACUCCAGAACUGCCUUUGAUACUGGCGAUCUUGAGUCCGGGAGAGGUGAGUGGAACUGCGAGUGUAGAGGUGAAAUUCGUAGAUAUUCGGAAGAACACCAGUGGCGAAGGCGGCUCACUGGUCCGGUACUGACGCCGAGGUGCGAAAGCGUGGGGAGCAAACAGG